rnacentral:rRNA from 1 species
ACUCCUACGGGAGGCAGCAGUAGGGAAUCUUCCGCAAUGGACGAAAGUCUGACGGAGCAACGCCGCGUGAGUGAAGAAGGCCUUCGGGUCGUAAAACUCUGUUGCCGGGGAAGAACAAGUGCCGUUCGAACAGGGCGGCGCCUUGACGGUACCCGGCCAGAAAGCCACGGCUAACUACGUGCCAGCAGCCGCGGUAAUACGUAGGUGGCAAGCGUUGUCCGGAAUUAUUGGGCGUAAAGCGCGCGCAGGCGGCUUCUUAAGUCUGAUGUGAAAUCUUGCGGCUCAACCGCAAGCGGUCAUUGGAAACUGGGAGGCUUGAGUGCAGAAGAGGAGAGUGGAAUUCCACGUGUAGCGGUGAAAUGCGUAGAGAUGUGGAGGAACACCAGUGGCGAAGGCGGCUCUCUGGUCUGUAACUGACGCUGAGGCGCGAAAGCGUGGGGAGCAAACAGGAUUAGAUACCCUGGUAGU